CAGGGUCACACGAACAAGAGUAUGGAAGAUGUUUCGACUCCUUUAUUGAAGAGUAAUUAGUGGAGUGCGGCUGUUCCUACGAUGGCUAUAAGACACGUAUUUUGCAUAUGACAACCGUUAAUUAACAAGGAAGUGUUACGGCAACACAUAGCUCUUGUGGAAGGGGAGAGACACCUCAACCUUGGGAUAUCCACGUGACAAGAACAUAAAUAAUCUGACAAGAGUACGACAAAGCACAGCAUUGAAGGAUAAAUCCGCGUUACACAAAUCUCCACAACGCAACCCGCGGGCCGGCGCCGGAGAUCCCCUUCGCAACCCGGAUUUAUGGACCAAAACAAAGGACCUGCUUCACUGUGAUUGGAAAAAUUAAGGAACCAUGGCCACUUUUGGGGUGAAGACAGGAGGAACACCUGGAGCAGCAGCGGGAGGUGGAUUCUCUUUCGGAAAUCAGAACCCGGCAGCAGGGGGAGGAUUCAAUUUCGGCCAGGUUCAGCAGCAACAGGCAGCACCAGCAGCAGCAGGAGCAGUGGCACCCCAAGCCAACAAGAGCCUUUUUGGCACUCCACCUGCCGGCACUCAGCGCCUUGGGUUUAAUUUUGGCACUCUGGGUGGCACUCCCAGUACCUCAGCAGCUGCCACAACAAGCACAGCCUCCAGCUUCAGCUUCAGCUCAACAGCCACCCCAGCUACCUCGACCACUACCUUUGGGGGCUUCAACUUCAGCAGUACACCAGCUGCCACCAGUGCGAGUGGCUUUUCAUUAGGUGGUGCAACACCGAGUACAGUGGCCGCAGGCUUCAGUCUCGGGGGAACCGGCCUGGCCCCCACACCUACCUCAAGCGCAGCAGGCACCGCCUCUGGCUUCUCCUUCACUGGCCUUGGAGGAGCCACAGCAACCUCAGCUGUUCCUGCAACAGAUUUUUCAGCUGGAUUAGGGGGUGCACAAACCCUGCAAACAUCACAGGCACCCAAGCUUGGAGGCGGCUUUGGGUUCACAAGUUUACAGACCGCAACCACCACCACAAGUUCCACUGGCCUUGGGGGUAUCAACAUAGGACUUGGAGGGGCACAACCUCCAUCAGCCAGUGCAGGUAACAACAAUGUAGGAGCAAAACCAGAUGGCAAGUCUGCAAAGGAGCAGCUUUUAACAAAUGACUUGUUUGGGACCAUUGCACUCUUCGAAUCUCGCCGCGAUGCCGAGAACUCGGCUUCAGAGGAGAACAUCCGACAGACAGCUGCACCCUUCCAUAAGGUGGCCAAGAAAGCAACGGAGAUCCAGCAGCUGCUUGCCGAGCUGGCUAGCGAGUACCAGCAGCUGCAUACCAGUGCUGUUAAUCUCAAGGCAGAUGUAAUGAAGGAAGCAGAGCAGGUCGAGAUGGCCCGUCGGACCAAGGAGACCCCAAUGGCCCUCCAGGGGGAAAACAAAGCCCCCGAGAUGUACUUCAUCAACCUCGUCCGGCACUUCGAGUCCGAGAUGAUGUACUGCCGGACCAAGAUCGAGGAGGUGUCGGUGUGCAUGCAGGCGGCCAACAACCCCAAUGAAACGCCGGACGACAUAUCGGAGGUGCUGCAGCGCGAGCAUGACACACUAAAGGAGUUGGCCAGCAAAGUGUAUGCCAAGCACGCGCACCUUGUCGAGCUAGGUCACCGCCUCAACACCUCCACCAAGCCCAACGACCAGGGCUUCUUUAGACCCCAUUCCAAGGAGGAUGCCAAGAUCCCCGCUUCAGCUGUGGUGCGGCCAGUGCUAGGGGGCAGCAGCGGUCUCCAGGCAUUCCAAGAACAGCAGGAGCGAGCCAAAGCUGUAACACUAGGUGCUGCCCCCCCUACCAUGCCCCUCGCACAAACCACCACACCUUCAAUGUUUGGAAGCAAUCCCAACGCCUCGAGCAUUUUCCCAACGGGUGCUGGUUUCUUUGGGACUGGCAGCUUCAACUUGGGCUCACAGACUGCCAACACCACCUUUGGAGCCUCGAAGACCUUUGGCGGAAACACCUCCACCUUCGGGGCAUUCGGCAGCAACACCUCUGGGGUCCAGCAGUCGAGCCCCUUUGCCAUUAGCUCCCCAUUCAACACGAAGCCGUUCGGCUCGUGAGAAUGAAGGGCUCGGCUGGGGGUGAGAGAGAGAGAGGCACACCACUGUACACUUUGAGGGGAUGUUCGGAAAGAGACGAUGAUGGCGACAGCAGACGGAAAAGGCGCCUGUGAACACCAGCAACAAAUUUUUGUUAAGAUUGUUACUUUUAAGAGAUUAAAAAAAAAAAAAGGAAAAAAAUUGGGAGCUUUAUAUUUCUCUCUCUCCAAUGGACAUUCUUUUGUAAAACUGGUGCGAAUGAUUUUAUGGACGUAUUAAAAAUUUGUCAGUGGUAAGUGUAAGCUUGACAGAGAACUUGUAAGCUGUGAAAUUUUUUAUGUCUAUACGGUCUUUUUUUCCCAUUAUUACUGAUUAUAUAAAUAAAGUAUUUAUAAAAGGAUAAAAAAAA